rnacentral:rRNA from 1 species
GAUGAACGCUGGCGGCGUGCCUAAUACAUGCAAGUCGAGCGAACAGACGAGGAGCUUGCUCCUCUGACGUUAGCGGCGGACGGGUGAGUAACACGUGGAUAACCUACCUAUAAGACUGGGAUAACUUCGGGAAACCGGAGCUAAUACCGGAUAAUAUAUUGAACCGCAUGGUUCAAUAGUGAAAGACGGUUUUGCUGUCACUUAUAGAUGGAUCCGCGCCGCAUUAGCUAGUUGGUAAGGUAACGGCUUACCAAGGCAACGAUGCGUAGCCGACCUGAGAGGGUGAUCGGCCACCAUGGAACUGAGACAAGGUCCAGACGCCUAAGGGGGGCAGCAGUAGGGAAUCUCCCGCAAUGGGCGAAAGCCUGACGGAGCAACGCCGCGUGAGUGAUGAAGGUCUUCGGAUCGUAAAACUCUGUUAUUAGGGAAGAACAAAUGUGUAAGUAACUAUGCACGUCUUGACGGUACCUAAUCAGAAAGCCACGGCUAACUACGUG